UUGUUAUGGGAAGUUUUGUGAUUUUAUGGUAGAUUUAAGUAAUGACGAAAAUGAAAUUGUUAAGGUGUGGAUUAUGAUUAUGGUUGAUGAAAUUGGAAGAUGGAAAUAUGUUGUGAAUAUGUAGGUUGAAGAUUAGAAGUUUUGGAUGGAUUAUGGUUUUGGUGGAAAGUUUGUAUAUUUUGUAUAUCUUGUGAAUAUUUUGUAGAAAUGAUAUGAAAUGCUUCCGAAUUGUAUUGUAAUGAUCUUGAUUAGUAAUGAAUAUGAAAAUGUCGAUAUUGAUUUGAAAAUACGAAGUUGGAAUGAAGGUUACGACAUGAUGUUGGAAAGAUGAAUAAUUAUGUUAUAUUGUGUUUUGUAGUGAUUAUUGUUGUUGUUGGUGUUGUUGUUGGGUUGUUGUUGAUUGUUUUGGCCGAGUUGAAUUCUCGGGGGCGCUAUAUGUAUAGGGGAGAUGCUGCCCAAAUUUUUAUAGACAAGAAUUGGUUAAGGUUGAAAUUUUAAGUCUUAUGAAUAGUAAAUUGGUAAAUGUGACCAUUUGUAGGUUUUGGACGAAACGGGAUUUGAGUUUUGGCAAGCGUAAAGGGCAAGAAAGGUACAGACGACUGGUUCGCUGAUCCACACGUUUAGGAUCCCGUUUCUGCUAUUUUGGGGCGCUCUCUUCUUCAGAGCCCAUCUUUUGGUAUAGUCUGUCACUGAUAUCUGGAUAUGUACUUUGUUCAGGGUAUGACGGGGCCCUGUCCCGUCUUAUGAUUAUGAUAUGUUCUGUAGAGGUCUGUGGAUACAUCUGUGUGGGUUCUGUACAUAUGUUUGGGAUACUUUGUUCUAUGAUGGCCUUAUCGGCUUCUGUGUGCCAAGUCUGCUCUUCUGCUAAAUCCUGUAGCAUCCACUAAUGUUAUUAUUAUAUUAUUAUUCUGAUAA